rnacentral:rRNA from 1 species
CGGCAAGUGGACGAUUGGAAGUAAAAGUCGUAACAAGGUCUCCGUUGGUGAACCAGCGGAGGGAUCAUUACCGAGUUUACAACUCCCAAACCCAAUGUGAACGUUACCAAACUGUUGCCUCGGCGGGAUCUCUGCCCCGGGUGCGUCGCAGCCCCGGACCAAGGCGCCCGCCGGAGGACCAACCAAAACUCUUAUUGUAUACCCCCUCGCGGGUUUUUUUACUAUCUGAGCCAUCUCGGCGCCCCUCGUGGGCGUUUCGAAAAUGAAUCAAAACUUUCAACAACGGAUCUCUUGGUUCUGGCAUCGAUGAAGAACGCAGCGAAAUGCGAUAAGUAAUGUGAAUUGCAGAAUUCAGUGAAUCAUCGAAUCUUUGAACGCACAUUGCGCCCGCCAGUAUUCUGGCGGGCAUGCCUGUCCGAGCGUCAUCUCAACCCUCGAACCCCUCCGGGGGGUCGGCGUUGGGGAUCGGCCCUUUACGGGGCCGGCCCCGAAAUACAGUGGCGGUCUCGCCGCAGCCUCUCCUGCGCAGUAGUUUGCACACUCGCAUCGGGAGCGCGGCGCGUCCACAGCCGUUAAACACCCCAAACUUCUGAAAUGUUGACCUCGGAUCAGGUAGGAAUACCCGCUGAACUUAAGCAUAUCAAUAAGCGGAGGA